UUAGAUUCCCCAUUUUUCGUAGAAGAAAAAGUGAGUGGUUUUGUGCAAAAACGCAAGGACGAGGAGACGUGUGACCAUCGCGAAUUCGGCGUAAAAAACGAAGAAAAUACGUAUUUAAUCAUCUUGCAUCGACCAAUGAUAUCACACCUGGUAUUGCUCUUGAUGUAUGCCUUGGUGUGCUUUUAUUAUUCAGUAUUCACAAGCAAAUGCGGCAAGUCUUGAAAAAGAAGAUCCUUCUGGUAUCUAUCAUAACAUUAUUAUUAUAAGGCAACAAGAUUUAUUACCACUUUCAUUCCCAAAAAUUCCUUCGAUAAUGGAUGAGAAACCUUUUGUUGUGUUCAAAUUUUUAACUCAUAAAGGCCGCGAGCUGACACAAGAAGAUGAU
rnacentral:misc_RNA from 1 species